rnacentral:lncRNA from 1 species
AAAUCACUUCAUGGCUACAGACGUGAGUGCACCAAGUCGGUAGUCAUUUAGGCAGGUUGCCUUAGUGUUCUUGGGCACAGGGACUAUGCUGGUUUGAUGCAGUUAAUUACAGUUUAUGGCUGAGACCGAUAGUUUGAAAUCAAUUAGACUAUAUUUAAAAAAAAAAAAUGUGUCAAUUAAGAACACAUUCUUAUUUACAAUGACGGCGUACCAAAAGGCAAAAGGCCUCCUGCAGGGACGGGGGCUGGGAUUAGAAAUAAAAUAAAAAUAUAGGACAAAACAGACAUCAAGACAAUAGAGACACCACAACACUACAUACAGAGAGACAUGAGACAACAACAUAGCAAGGCAGCAACACAUGAAAACACAGCAUGUUAGCAUCACAACAUGACAACAACAUGAUAGCAACACACGGCAGCAGCACAACAUGGUGGCAGCACAAAACAUGGUAGGAAGCGUAUUGGGCACAGACAACAGCACAAAGGCAAGAAGGUAGAGACAACAAUACAUGUAUUAUUUAUUUAUUUAACCUUUAUUUAACUAGGCAAGUCAGUUAAGAACAAAUUCUUAUUUACAAUGAGGCAUACCAAAAGGCAAAAAGGCCUCCUGCAGGAAUGGGGGCUGGGAGUAAAAAUAAAAUAUAUAUAAAUAUAGGACAAAACACACAUCACGACAAGAGGGACAACACUACACUACAUAAAGAGAGACCUAAGACAACAACAUAGCAAGGCAGCAACACAUGACAACACAGCAUGGUAGCAACACAACAUGACAACAACAUGCUAGCAACAAUACAUCACGCAAAGCAGUCACAACUGUCAGUAAGAGUGUCCAUGAUUGAGUCUUUAAAUUAAGAGAUGGAGAUAAAACUAUAACUGCGCCAAGACCAUUAAAACGUUGGGUGCGUUCUCGUCUGAGUGUAACAGAGCGCAGAAUAACUGAUGAAUUUACCAACGCUCAACACCAGUUAAAUUGUAUAGUGACUUAUUUUUCUACUGUAUUAUUGACUGUAUGUUUGUUUUACUCCAUGUGUAACUCUGUUGUUGUAUGUGUUAAACUGCUUUGCUUUAUCUUGGCCAGGUCGCAAUUGUAAAUGAGAACUUGUUCUCAACUUGCCUACCUGGUUAAAUAAAGGUGAAAUAAAAAAAAAAAUGAAUAAAAAAUAUGGCCGUUGUCAGUAAACGUCGGCAAAAAAAAGCGUUAAAUUGUUGUCAGCGGGACAGUUCCAGUCACCAACGCUCUAGAUAACAUGAAAACAGCCUAACGAGCUCUGCUGGCAGGUGUAAAAUGGUCAGAGUGAGGUGCUCUCUUAUUUGUGUCUGGAAGUAUCUAGCCACCCUUAGCCAGUUAGCUUGGGUGCCUGACUACUGUUGUGGGGUCAGAACAGUCAGUGUGCGCUCUGAACGCUCCAAGAGCGUAACGCUCUGAAUUUACGAACACACCCUUCGCUGCGUUUGGCUCUGUUGCCUCUUUAGGUCACUGUGGCAGUUCAUGUCGUUCUCCAGGGAAACCAGGUCACCGUGGCAGUUCAUGUCGUUGACCAGGGAAACCAGGACGCGUCUACUGAGGGGGAUCCUGCCAGUGACUGAGGAACACCUUCCUAUCCACCAAUGACCAGCCGGGGAACAGGCUUCCCGCUCCAUCAACCGCCUCUGUGUGUAUUUGUAUGAGGCGCAGAGAACAGGCACGGGUGCACAUUCAGCGACAGUCAAUUGAAGUUACUACUUGCUACCAGACAGUAAAAAUGACAACAUCAUGAGGAGAUUGCUGGGGGAUUUCAGAAUGAAGAGGAGACAUUGCUCCAGCCAGAGGGUAAGGAGGUGUUAUCAACAUUGUAAUAAUAGGAACAAUUAUUAUAUUACGUUUGAUGUCAUAGUGCAAUUCUUAUAGAAAUAUGUUAAAUAAAGAAGGGUUCAACCAGUUUGUUAAAUGCAUCUUUGGAAGAAAAUGUCCAGGAGGAGAACAGGAAUGUAAGUCAUGGAUGGAAGGAAGGAAGGAAGGAUGGAAGGAAGGAAGGAAGGAAGGAAGGAAGG